rnacentral:rRNA from 1 species
UACGGAAGGGGCGAGCGUUGUUCGGAAUCAUUGGGCGUAAAGGGCGCGUAGGCGGUUGUGUUUGUCUACUGUGAAAGGCCACGGCUUACCUGUGGAGGUGCGGUAGAAACGGCUCAACUUGAGGCUGGGAGGGGUUGGUGGAAUUCCCUGUGUAGCGGUGAAAUGCGUAGAUAUCAGGAGGAACACCUAUUGCGAAGGCAGCUCGCUGGGACGUAACUGACGCUGAGACGCGAAAGCGUGGGGAGCGAACAGG